rnacentral:rRNA from 1 species
UACGGGGGGGGCAAGCGUUGUUCGGAAUUACUGGGCGUAAAGGGCUCGUAGGCGGCCAACUAAGUCAGACGUGAAAUCCCUCGGCUUAACCGGGGAACUGCGUCUGAUACUGGAUGGCUUGAAUUCGGGAGAGGGAUGCAGAAUUCCAGGUGUAGCGGUGAAAUGCGUAGAUAUCUGGAGGAAUACCGGUGGCGAAGGCGGCAUCCUGGACCGAGAUUGACACUGAUGAGCGAAAGCUAGGGGAGCAAACGGG